rnacentral:sRNA from 1 species
CAUAAUCGGUGCACUGUGCUGACGAGUCCCGAAAAGGGCGAAACAGCUGUCCACAGUUGCCGUUGUUUGCCUUU